GGUGGCUCAGUGGUAGAGUACUUGCUUUGCAUGCACGAGGCCCUGAGUUUGAUUCCUCAGCACCA
rnacentral:tRNA from 1 species